GACGAACCGUGCGAACGUUGUUCGGAAUCACUGGGCUUAAAGGGCGCGUAGGCGGUCAAUCAAGUCUGGGGUGAAAUCUUUCGGCUUAACCGGAAAAGUGCCUUGGAUACUGAUUGGCUCGAGGGAGGUAGGGGCAGCUGGAACUUCCGGUGGAGCGGUGAAAUUCGUAGAUAUUCGGAAGAACACCAGUGGCGAAGGCGGCUCACUGGACAGGUAUUGACGCUGAGGUGCGAAAGCGUGGGGAGCAAACAGG
rnacentral:rRNA from 1 species